GGGAGGCAGCAGUGGGGAAUAUUGCACAAUGGGCGGAAGCCUGAUGCAGCAACGCCGCGUGCGGGAUGACGGCCUUCGGGUUGUAAACCGCUUUCGCCUGUGACGAAGCGUGAGUGACGGUAAUGGGUAAAGAAGCACCGGCUAACUACGUGCCAGCAGCCGCGGUAAU
rnacentral:rRNA from 1 species